GAAUUUGCUUCGACAGUACAUACACUAAAAUUUGGAAUGAUACCAAGAAGGUUAGCAUGGUCCCUGUAUAAGGAUGGCACACAAAUUCAUGAAGCGUUCCAUCUUUUU
rnacentral:snRNA from 1 species